rnacentral:rRNA from 1 species
GAGUUUGAUCCUGGCUCAGGAUGAGCGCUGGCGGCGUGCUUAACACAUGCAAGUCGAACGGGGCCACCAUUUUUGAAGCGAUUAGCUUGCUAAGAGUGGAAAUGUUGGCGGCUUAGUGGCGGACGGGUGAGUAACGCGUGGGUAACCUGCCAUAUACAGGGGGAUAACACUUAGAAAUAGGUGCUAAUACCGCAUAAGCGCACGGAGCUGCAUGGCUCAGUGUGAAAAACUCCGGUGGUAUAUGAUGGACCCGCGUCUGAUUAGCUUGUUGGCGGGGUAACGGCCCACCAAGGCGACGAUCAGUAGCCGGCCUGAGAGGGUGGACGGCCACAUUGGGACUGAGACACGGCCCAAACUCCUACGGGAGGCAGCAGUGGGGAAUAUUGGACAAUGGGGGGAACCCUGAUCCAGCGACGCCGCGUGAGUGAAGAAGUAUCUCGGUAUGUAAAGCUCUAUCAGCAGGGAAGAAAGAAAUGACGGUACCUGACCAAGAAGCCCCGGCUAACUACGUGCCAGCAGCCGCGGUAAUACGUAGGGGGCAAGCGUUAUCCGGAUUUACUGGGUGUAAAGGGAGCGUAGACGGUAAUGCAAGUCUGGAGUGAAAUGCAGGGGCUCAACCCCUGAACUGCUUUGGAAACUGUAUGACUGGAGUGC